CAGGAGCCGCUGUCACUGCAGUAGAUUGGACUUCUCUCCGAUCCCACCUCCCUCUCCAAGUCCCCCGUCGAUCUGCACCGGCUGUCCGCCAGAGAAGGGGGCGGAACCGGCGCUGCCUUGCCCGUUCCUGUGCGACCUCUCAUUCCGGUGCCGUAGAAAUGUUAGAGGGAGCGCAAAUGAGCAGUUCUGUCUUCCUCGGCUACUGCUCUCAUUCGCUUCGAUGACUCACUGCGAAGUUAUGAAAACGAACUUUGGGUGCUUUCUCGAAACAAAGCGCUCUCUGAUGGUAAUUGGCACUAACAUGUCUUCAACUCUGACAAGUCAUCCAAAAAACUAAAAGAGCAGUUCAAACCCCCAAAAAAUCUCCAAACAGAAUGGCAACCUGGUUUCGAGGGAUUUUUUAAAGAUCUGGAUCAAUCAAGUGUGGACACAUUCUGUGUGUUUGUUCUGUGCUGUGCUGGAAGGUGUUGUCACUCUGAGGAGAUCCAAGUGGAUCGCGGAUAGAGAGCGCCUUUGAGACUCUCCAGUACUGAUACUGCCCACCUGUGAGAGGGAAGGACGGACCUGUUUAUUCAUAAAAGGCCCUGGCCACCUCUCACAGUCCCUUUUCAGAUUAGUGCUUUAAUUACACAGUGCAAAUAACACCUCUCUGUAAAAAUGAAUUACCAGAGCACCUCUCUGCUGGUCCAAUUCUAUUUUUC